rnacentral:lncRNA from 1 species
CAAUAGGCUAUUAUUACAAAUCAGCACAAUUACUGUAAUAAAGUAAAACCGUUGUGGGAAACAAAACCCCUCAAAACCCUACUACUCCGGCCCCCCGUCCAUGGCCUGAUUCCUUCCGCCUCGCCGCCGCCGGAGGCGGUCAAACGAUGCUAUCCCUCCCCCCGCGCCGCCACCUCCUCUUCCUCCACUGCUCGCGCCGCCGGCGCCCUGCCCUCCUCCCGCUCUCCGUU